rnacentral:rRNA from 1 species
CACCAGCGCCACAAGUGGCAACCGCUUUUAUUGGGCCUAAAGCGUCCGUAGCCGGUUCAGUAAAUUUCCUGUGAAAUUGUUGGGCUUAACCUAACGGCAUGCAGGAAAGACUACUGAACUAGGGACCGGGAGGCGUCAGAGGUAUUCCUGAGGGAGCGGUAAAAUGCUAUAAUCUCAGGAGGACCCCCUGUGGCGAAGGCGUCUGACGAGAACGGAUCCAACGGUGAGGGACGAAAGCCAGGGGAGCGAACCGG